GAUGAACGCUGACAGAAUGCUUAACACAUGCAAGUCAACUUGAAUUUGGGUUUUUAACUUAGAUUUGGGUGGCGGACGGGUGAGUAACGCGUAAAGAACUUGCCUCACAGCUAGGGACAACAUUUAGAAAUGAAUGCUAAUACCUGAUAUUAUGAUUUUAAGGCAUCUUAGAAUUAUGAAAGCUAUAAGCACUGUGAGAGAGCUUUGCGUCCCAUUAGCUAGUUGGAGAGGUAACAGCUCACCAAGGCGAUGAUGGGUAGCCGGCCUGAGAGGGUGAACGGCCACAAGGGGACUGAGACACGGCCCUUACUCCUACGGGAGGCAGCAGUGGGGAAUAUUGGACAAUGGACCGAGAGUCUGAUCCAGCAAUUCUGUGUGCACGAUGAAGUUUUUCGGAAUGUAAAGUGCUUUCAGUUGGGAAGAAAGGAAUGACGGUACCAACAGAAGAAGUGACGGCUAAAUACGUGCCAGCAGCCGCGGUAAUACGUAUGUCACGAGCGUUAUCCGGAUUUAUUGGGCGUAAAGCGCGUCUAGGUGGUUAUGUAAGUCUGAUGUGAAAAUGCAGGGCUCAACUCUGUAUUGCGUUGGAAACUGUAUAACUAGAGUACUGGAGAGGUAAGCGGAACUACAAGUGUAGAGGUGAAAUUCGUAGAUAUUUGUAGGAAUGCCGAUGGGGAAGCCAGCUUACUGGACAGAUACUGACGCUAAAGCGCGAAAGCGUGGGUAGCAAACAGG
rnacentral:rRNA from 1 species